rnacentral:rRNA from 1 species
UGCGUAGGCGGAAAUAUAAGUCAGUGGUGAAAUCCUGCAGCUCAACUGUAGAACUGCCAUUGAUACUGUUUUUCUUGAGUCCAGUUGAGGUGGGCGGAAUGUGUAGUGUAGCGGUGAAAUGCUUAGAUAUUACACAGAACACCAAUUGCGAAGGCAGCUCACUAAACUGUAACUGACGCUGAGGCACGAAAGCGUGGGGAGCGAACAGGAUUAGAUACCCUGGUAGUCC